CUCUCUUUUUGCUUCCGUUUAAAAAUGGCGGCUUGCAUGCAAAGGGGAUGCCAAGCAAAUUCCGCUUGUUUUACUUAUGUUCUUUCCGCUUUCUAAUACUGAUCUUUUCUAUCUGUAUUUGAUUUUUUUUUGGUGUCUCUGCUCCCUGUAAAUGUUGGUAAAGAGAUUCUUCUCAUUAAAACGUUUUGUUUAUCCAGUCUGGAUUUCACCGGCUUCCUGAGACAAACGCAUGGGAAAAAGCACUGUAAGGGAGGAGUGGACGGUUGUGAGGAGAAAACCGUUGAUAUCGCAGUAUCAUGCAGACCUGAAACGUGUAGACCAAUUCAAGAACCUCUUUCAUGUUGGUACGAGGGUGCAUGCGGCGCUGCCGCAGCCGUUUAAUGCUGCCAUCCACAUCGUAGCCGGUCUGCUUCUGAUGAAUGCACUCACGCAAGUAACGCCGGGUGGCAUCAAGCUGCUGGAUGUUCUCAGCUGUAUCUGCUAUAGAGCGAUCUAACUGAGCAGUGGACUGCAAAGAGAGUGCAAGGGCAGAGAAAAGAAUGUAAAGUGUUUUGGGAAUCCAAGAGAAGGUUCCUACCCACCAACUUCACAUCCACAAAGUGGGCUUGCAUUGUGUCACAUGUACAGUUACUUCCAUUUAGUAAUUUUUAAAGACACGUAAGCUGGAGUCCUAUUCCCAUUUACCUGGGGAGCAAGCUCUAUUUAAUUCGAUAGGAUUUAUAUCUGAGUAGACAUGUUCAGGAUUAUACUAAGCUGUUGUUGUCACUGAGAGAGGCGUUAUAAAGUGAGGAGGGUGUCCUGACAUACAGAGUUUGAAAUAAUCCAAUUCCUAUGCAUACAACAUGGGUAGGGAAUCUUUCAGCCCAAGGGCUGCAUUCGAUCAUGAGCAACUUUUCAGGGGCUAGAGACAAAAGUGGGUGGGGCGAUGGAUUUGACAGUAGGCUGCAUUCCAGCAAUUCAAAAGCCUCAGAUUUCUACACACGCACACAUACCCACACACACACCUCCCCAUCCAGGCAAGCGAGAGUAUUAUCACAGAUCGAGGACAUAUUCCAGAUAGACAAAAGCACUUGAGGAAGACAUGGAUCGGGGCCAGUGAGGAUUUUGGCCAGGGGAAAGGGAGCAUCAAGGGCCAGAUAGAGAAGCCAGGAGGGUCACAUUCAGCCCCCAGACCUGAGGUCCCCCCCCCGAUAUACGGUAUGUACAAAAGAAGGACAAGAAUCUAGAGAUUUUUUUCUGAAAACCUGGCUUCCAUUAACACUAUUUCUGAAUAGAUAUAGACCAACAGAAUUAGCACCUGUGGACAUUUUGAGUUAAUGUAUUUCCUGAACAAUUUAAAUUGUUAUUUGUUCUAGCUGAAUGUUUUGGUUAAAUAAUUGCACUAAGCAAAUAUAGGAAGCCAAGAAAUCUAAAUCUUUGUUCUGUUAAAUUAGAACUCUUGUUUGUUUCCUUUUUGCAAAAGUAACUAGAUACGUUGUAGUACAACAUAUCAGUACAAGUAUAGGUCUUAUCCCAUGUCUCCCAGCGAUAAUGACUUAUCCACUAAACCCAUCUGCCUCAUCACAAAAUACUUUACUGGAUAAAUCAUUAUCGCUGAAAGGCAGUCUUGUCCUGCUCCUUCCACUUCCUGCUCCACUUGCCCAGUGGUAUCUCUUUCUAUCAUCAUACCAUCCAGUGCUUGAAAAAAGAUUUGCAACUCUUGAAACCUAAUCUUAUGCAUGGGUCUUCAGAAGUAAGUCCUGGUAAGACUUAUUUCUAUAGGUUUGCAAUGCUAGAUAUUAGCACCAACAUUUUAACAACCAGUGCUCCUAGAGCUGGCUUUGUACUAAAUGUUUCAAUUAAAUGUUGCCACCCUGGACUCCUUCUGGGAGCAAGGGCAGGAUAUACAUUUCCCAACAUAAAACAAAUGUCACCUUACAAUAAUUGAUUUUGAGUUUCAGUGUUUCAAAAUAAAAUAUCAUACAGAACGAAAUUACAGUGUACCAUUUGUAAUUCAGUAAUAUGAGAGCAUUGGUCGGGUCUGAUUAUUUUGCAAGGCAUGUAUUCCGCCCUUUCUCCCAGUAGGAGCCCAGGGAUCUGAUUACUUUUGCAAGGCACUAUAUAUUCUGCCCUUUCUCCCAGUAGGAGCCCAGGGUAGCAAACUAAAAACACUAAAACAUCUUAAAAACAAACUUUAAAAUAUAUUAAAACAAAACAUCUUUUAAAACAUUUUUUUAAAAAGCUUUAAAAACAUCUUAAAAAGCAAUUCCAAAUAAUAAUAAUAAUAAUAAUGGAGUUUCUCAUGAGAAACUUCCUAGUGCAGCCAAGGAGGCACAGUGCUUUGCAAGCCAAUAAUCAGCUUUGUUGGCACCUGCAGAGCCCUGCACCUUUGCAAGCACCAAUGAUCAGCUCAUUACCAACACUUGCAAAACACUGUGCCUUUGUCCACCAUAGUUUAAUUUCAGACCAUAUUGCCAAAGGAAAAUGGGUGACAUGAUGUCACUGUGCUGUCACGUGACUGACAAGUGGACAGCCCCACUUUCAGAAUUGAUCUGCAGUGGGCAGGGAGAUAAGAAUCUGGUCCACCAUUUAGAUCUAGUUCCCCACUCCAGUUAUACUCCAUUUAAAGGCCCAAUCAGGCUCUUUUACCUGGUUGAGGAUUGCAGCUUCAGGUAGCUGUGUUCCGACAUGUCUUUGGUACACUUGCACCACCGGCCUUGUCAGCUUCUCCCGUGUCUCCAAGUACUUGCUACUUGCAGGACCCUGUGGAUAUGCAAAUUAUUCAGAGUCAAAGCAGGAUUCCAAGCAGGCAGGGAGGGAGGAAGAUGUGAGGAAUUACAGCAGUGCCCUAAUUGCUCACCAAGGCCAUUCCCCGGGUAAUACACAUCUCAUGCUGAAAACGUUGGCAGCGAUGCAGAGUGCUGCGGGUUCCUCCCAAAGUCAUGUCGAGACGUUCCUGCCAGAGAGAAAGAAUAAAGGAAUCACUGAGCCGGGUCGCUUAGGAACAUGUGUGCGUGUGUGUUGUGCACAUAUAUGCAAACAGUAGGAGCAAUUAGUGAAGGUGGUGAAUUUCCAAGUGUAAGUUAUGCCUACUUGAGCCCCUAACAACUGACAACAGGUGGUUGACCUUCUUUGACCCAAGGGCUGCCAACCCUCCAGGGGGUGCAUGGCAGUGGUGGGUGUCACCAUCCCACACUCUUGCAUGUACACACACGGACACAUGCAAAUCAGCUGAAGAUGGUAGUUAUUGCUCCUCCCUGCUUUUUUAUUUUAUUUAUUUAAUUAACAAAAUUUAUAUACUGUGAUUGUGAAAAAUCUCUAAGUGGUUUACAAAAACCAUUAAUAUAUCAAUAAAAACAAGUAAUUAAACAUUUUAUAAAAAGAUUAAAAAAACAGACUAAAAAGACAUUAAAACACAUCAGCAUCUAUGUGUCUGGAUAGGCGUGGCUUGCCUUGCCUAAGCAGAAAUGUUUUAAGCAGAAUCCGAAAAGAUCACAGCGGAGGCCCCUGUCUGAUGUCACUAAAUGGUUGAUCUGAUGACUGGGGAGGGAAUGAUUUGUAUCCACAUAAGAGCCAGUGUGGUGUAGUGGUUAAGGUGUUGGACUAUGACCUGGGGGAUCAGGAAUCCCCACAUAGCCAUGAAGCUCACUGGGUGACCUUGGGCCAGUCACUGCCUCUCAGCCUCAUGAAAACCCUAUUCAUAGGGUCGCCAUAAGUCGGAGUCGACUUGAAGGCAGUACAUUUACAUUUUAAGGGUGCUAGACUAUUUCAAGUCUGGUUUUUUAAAAAUCCUCUUGGUGCUGCUGUCAUAUACAGUGGGGUCUUGGGGAGGUGGGGGAGAAAAUUUGCUUGGGGAGCCACAUCAGGCCCCAGGCUAGAAGGAAACCACCCCGGCUUACAGUAUCUUGGAGAUAAGCAGCACUAGAGUCAGGAGGAGGAUGCACAUCAUGAGGUUAAAAACUCUCCUCUCCAUGCUAUAUACCAGCAUUAUCUAUUUUUAGGCGUCAGGCAAAAACAGUUCUCCCAGGCAUUUGACUCCUGAUUUUAGAGGGCUUUUGGUGGGCUCUUGAUGCUGUAGUGUCUUUUAGGGGGUGGGUUGUUCCACUGCUGUUAUAUUAAUGUGUUUUUAACUUUUCAUUUUGUUUAAGUUUUUAUACUGGUUUUACCUUUUUAACUGUAAGUCAUU